GUCCUUAAAGCUUUUGCCAACACUGGCGUUGAGUUCAUCGUCGGCCUUGGUAAUGAGUACUUAACAAAAAUGCAAGAUCCCACCGAAGCUCAAUCGUGGGUCAAGUCAAACGUCCAAGCUUACCUCCCUGCAACUAAAAUCACCUCCAUUGCUGUCGGCAAUGAAGUUUUGACCUUCAAUGAUACCUCUCUUUCUGGUUGUUUACUUCCGGCGAUGCAGAGUAUACACACUGCCCUAAUUAACCUGAAAUUGGACCGGCAGGUUACUGUC
rnacentral:lncRNA from 1 species